rnacentral:lncRNA from 1 species
CGGGGAGUGAGCAGGUUCAGCAGUGACGGGCGGAAAGCCUUGAGGGUGGGCUUCUUGGAUCCCAAUUGCCGCAGAGGCACAGGCCUGGGCAUCACUGUAUUAUUUCCCGAGGGGAGAAGGGGCUAUUUCCCAUGGGAAGACCAAGUGGGAUGAAUAGUGGACCUUGAGAAGAGGGGGUGGCCAGGAAAAGGUUCCUGAAGGAGGCAGGAGCCAGACUGCAGGCUGGGGAGGGUUUGGGCAGCCAGAGGGAGGUGAGGGUGCUGGAGCGGGGGUCAAUCGGUCACUCCGGCCGGAGAUCUGAGUGGCCUCUGCCCCCUCUGCGCUGUGGAGUGCAUCUGAUUGCCAGCCUCGCUGGACCGUUGAGAGGAUUCAUCGAGACCCUGGAUAUGAAUAUGCAGUGUGAACUGAAGUUUGGGGACAUGAGUAAUCAGUCACAGUGGCCCAAGAUUUGAGGUGUAAAUGGAGAAGUCAGAAUGAUUCGCUGCAGCUGUCUGGAACAGGUUGGGUGAGGGUAAGGGUGGGAAAGGUGGCUGAGGCCAGGUUGUGAGAGGCCUUUCAUGGCAGGCUGAGGGGGUUAUACUAUAGGGAGGAUUUUAAGCAGAGGAGCUGGUGGACUGGUGAGCAGGGCAUAUAGGUGACACCUAGCCAACUUGAGAGGUCAGAAUACAUGAUUCCAGAAGGCUAAGGAGAAGGCUGCCAGUAGAGUAAAGGGGAAGAAUUCCCAGGGCGAGGAAAACACAUAAGCCUUUGCGUGUGGAGCUGUGUAAAUUCAAGGUCUGGCCAGGGGGCUGUGAGAUGCCGUGUGUGCUUGGAGCACAGGAAUGAGAAGUGAGGUGAGGAAGUGGCUGGGCCACCUCACAAAGGGCCUCAAAUUCUAGGCUGAGAAACUCGGACUUGGUCCUGAGGGUAAAGGGGGCCGGGAGAAUGUUAUGCAUGGUGCUGAAUUUGCAUUCAACACAGCUGUGAAAAGCAUCUGUCAGGGUCAGGCCAGUGUGGGAGGGGAACUGGAGGCCAG